rnacentral:rRNA from 1 species
AGGGAUUGCCCCAGUAAUGGCGAAUGAAGCGGCAACAGCUCAAAUUUGAAAUCUGGCCUCCUCGGGGUCCGAGUUGUACUUUGCAGAGGGUGCUUUGGCGUCGGCUGUGGUCUAAGUUCCUUGGAACGGGACGUCGCAGAGGGUGAGAAUCCCGUAUGUGGCCGCCAGCCCUUGCCGUGUAAAGCCCCUUCGACGAGUCGAGUUGUUUGGGAAUGCAGCUCUAAAUGGGAGGUAAAUUUCUUCUAAAGCUAAAUACCGGCCAGAGACCGAUAGCGCACAAGUAGAUUGAUCGAAAGAUGAAAAGCACUUUGGAAAGAGAGUCAAAAAGCACGUGAAAUUGUUGAAAGGGAAGCGCUUGCAGCCAGACGCGCCUGCGGUCGGUCAUCCGGGCUCCUCGCCCGGUGCAUUCCUCCGCAGGCGGGCCAGCAUCGGUCCGGGUGGUUGGAUAAAGGCCUGCUAAACGUACCUCCCUCGGGAGGACUUAUAGGGUAGGUGGCAUACAACCAGCCUGGAUCGAGGUCCGCGCUUCGGCGAGGAUGCUGGCGUAAUGGUGGCAAGCGGCCCGUCUUGAAACACGGACCAAGGAGUCUAACAUCUAUGCGAGUGUUUGGGUGUCAAGCCCGGGCGCGCAAUGAAAGUGAACGGAGGUGGGAUCCCCUCGGGGUGCACCAUCGACCGAUCCUGAAGUCUUCGGAUGGAUUUGAGUAAGAGCAUAGCUGUUGGGACCCGAAAGAUGGUGAACUAUGCCUGAAUAGGGUGAAGCCAGAGGAAACUCUGGUGGAGGCUCGCAGCGGUUCUGACGUGCAAAUCGAUCGUCAAAUUUGGGCAUAGGGGCGAAAGACUAAUCGAACUAUCUAGUAGCUGGUUCCUGCCGAAGUUUCCCUCAGGAUAGCAGUAACGUUUUCAGUUUUAUGAGGUAAAGCGAAUGAUUAGAGGCCUGGGGGUUGAAACAACCUUCACCUAUUCUCAAACUUUAAAUAUGUAAGAAGUCCUUGUUGCUUGGUUGAACGUGGACAUUUGAAUGUAUCGUUACUAGUGGGCCAUUUUUGGUAAGCAGAACUGGCGAUGCGGGAUGAACCGAACGCGGGGUUAAGGUGCCAGAAUGCACGCUCAUCAGACACCACAAAAGGUGUUAGUUCAUCUAGACAGCAGGACGGUGGCCAUGGAAGUCGGAACCCGCUAAGGAGUGUGUAACAACUCACCUGCCGAAUGAACUAGCCCUGAAAAUGGAUGGCGCUCAAGCGUGCUACCCAUACCCCGCCGCCAGGGCAGUGAUUGCGCCCUGGCGAGUAGGCAGGCGUGGGGGCUUGUGACGAAGCC